rnacentral:rRNA from 1 species
UACGAAGGGGCUAGCGUUGCUCGGAAUCACUGGGCGUAAAGCGCACGUAGGCGGGUUGUUAAGUCAGGGGUGAAAUCCUGGAGCUCAACUCCAGAACUGCCUUUGAUACUGGCAAUCUUUGAGUCCGGGAGAGGUGGGUGGAACUGCGAGUGUAGAGGUGAAAUUCGUAGAUAUUCGCAAGAACACCAGUGGCGAAGGCGGCUCACUGGCCCGGUACUGACGCUGAGGUGCGAAAGCGUGGGGAGCAAACAGGG